AACGAACGCUGGCGGCAUGCCUAACACAUGCAAGUCGAACGAGACCUUCGGGUCUAGUGGCGCACGGGUGCGUAACGCGUGGGAACCUGCCCUUAGGUUCGGAAUAACUCCCCGAAAGGGGUGCUAAUACCGGGUAAUGUCUUCGGACCAAAGAUUUAUCGCCUUUGGAUGGGCCGGCGUUGGAUUAGCUAGUUGGUAGUGUAAAAGCCUACCAAGGCUACGAUCCAUAGCUGGGCUGAGAGGAUGAGCAGCCACACUGGGACUGAGACACGGCCCAGACUACUACGGGAAGCAGCAGUGGGGAAUAUUGGACAAUGGGCGAAAGCCUGAUCCAGCAAUGCCGCGUGAGUGAUGAAGGCCUUAGGGUUGUAAAGCUCUUUUACCCGGGAUGAUAAUGACAGUACCGGGAGAAUAAGCUCCGGCUAACUCCGUG
rnacentral:rRNA from 1 species